GAUCAAGAAUGUUGUUGAAGAGGCGUACUGAGAGUCUGGAUUCAGAGAUUGCACAUUGGUGACAGUCGAUACAAGUGCAUGUUUUCUGUGGCAUGUCAUUGAAGAGGCACUUCUAUUAAUUGCACGGAUGACCCAACUGCAUAGAAGCCUGAUUGGGACACAAAAAUAGAUGAGUAUGAUUUCAUUUUUUUUUCCUUUUCUGAUCUUUGUUAGGAAUAUUGAAUUUUAUACUAAUGUCUUGCGAAUCCUGAUGUACAUAGAAAUGUAACAGCUACCUGUUCAGUGUGAAGAGACAAGGGAAAGAAAUGGACAUUCCUUUGGGUUUCUGACUUUAAUCCCCAAGCCUGUAUGUGUAUGGAGCUUGUCUCUUUGCUUGAAUCAUGGUUUCCCCCCAGUUUCACUGAAUCAUUUCUUUGUACGUAUUCUGGUUAGAUUAUUGAGAGGGAGAAAAACUGAAUACUGAACGGUGUUAUGAUCAAAAUGUUAUUUAUUAGUGACCAACGAGGAAUUGAUGCACUUAGCAGUGAACGUGUUACAGACAUCAAUACAUUUGAGGUAAUGCAAGUGCAAUAUUCUUUCCCGUGUUUGGUAAUGCACUUCAACAAAAUAUGUGUCACUAUAAUAAAUUAUCUGCAUCAGUGAUUUUCGACAAGCAACAGGUUAUAUCUUAACUGACUACAUUGAUGUAUCUAAACUGAUUACGCUUAAGCCUCAAACUCCGUUUACCGACGACGCAGGUGUUGGGGACAUCAUCAGAAGGGGAAAAAAACAGUGCGCAAAAGGUUCCCCCCCCAACCCUGCCUCUUUUUUUUUUUUUUUUUGUGGGUGGAUUUUUUUAAUGAUCUUGUAUGCAUAUCAUUUGGUAGUAAAGCUUACGGUUUUUCCAAGCACAAAAAGGACGAGUGACAGUUGGAUGAAGA
rnacentral:lncRNA from 1 species